AGGUUGAUGACAAAGUGCCUGCAACGGAGAGAACAGGCAGAUCGUAAAGACGCCGGCUUCCCUGUAUAAAAAUAGCCUUCCCUGGGGGCUCGAACCGCGCCAUCCCUGGCGCGGACGCUUU
rnacentral:ncRNA from 1 species